rnacentral:rRNA from 1 species
GACGAACGCUGGCGGCGUGCUUAACACAUGCAAGUCGAACGGAAAGGCCCUGCUUUUGUGGGGUGCUCGAGUGGCGAACGGGUGAGUAACACGUGAGUAACCUGCCCUUGACUUUGGGAUAACUUCAGGAAACUGGGGCUAAUACCGGAUAGGAGCUCCUGCUGCAUGGUGGGGGUUGGAAAGUUUCGGCGGUUGGGGAUGGACUCGCGGCUUAUCAGCUUGUUGGUGGGGUAGUGGCUUACCAAGGCUUUGACGGGUAGCCGGCCUGAGAGGGUGACCGGCCACAUUGGGACUGAGAUACGGCCCAGACUCCUACGGGAGGCAGCAGUGGGGAAUAUUGCACAAUGGGCGGAAGCCUGAUGCAGCAACGCCGCGUGCGGGACGACGGCCUUCGGGUUGCAAACCGCUUUCGCCUGUGACGAAGCGUGAGUGACGGUAAUGGGUAAAGAAGCACCGGCUAACUACGUG